CAAUUUUCAUGCUUUUAAGCAUUUUUUUUAUAGAACUUUUUGUGCUUUUUCACUCUCUCACCUUAAAACUCUUAGAAAGUCUUAUUUCCAUCUUCCUCUCACUAGCUGGACAUGUAGAGAGAGAGUGAGUGAUUUUCUUAUUAGCUUGAAGAAUUUUGAAAGAGAAUUCAACUACAAAAACCAUCAAGAUUCGAAGACAGUUGGGACCUAAAUUAAGUGUCCACGUAUGCUCGCCUUUUUGGUAGGUACUAUGACACCUCAGUUGCGGUACCUUCAUUUAAAGUCACUCCGCUGACAAUCAAGAGUCUUAUGCUUGUGUACAUGUAUAAGUAAUGAAGAACACUAAGAUUCAUGUUAAAAAUCAAAUAUGUAUAUUUGAUUACUGAUGCUACUGUAAGGUGGUAAAUGAGUGAUACUAUGUUAGCAUAAUACAAAUGUGAAUAUUGGAUUGCUAUAAAACGUUACUGAAAUAUUUAUAAUUGAGAGUUGCAA